rnacentral:tRNA from 1 species
AGGGAUGUAGCUCAGUGGUAGAGCAAUUGCCUAACAUGUAAAAGACUCCAGGUUCAUCCCUG